GAUCCUGGUCUCAGUAUGAACGCUAGCGGCAGGCCUAACACAUGCAAGUCGAGGUGUAGNGUGCUCUGCGUUUGAACCGCGCGCACACGGGUGCGCUAACACGUGUACAAUCUACCUUUUGUAAGGAUAGCCCAGAAAUUUGGGAUUAAUACCUUAUAGUAUUGUUUGGGGCAUCACUGAAUAAUUAAAGCUCUGGUGGCAAAAGAUGAGUACGCGUCCCAUUAGCUAGUUGGUGGUAACGCACCAAGGCUACGAUGGGUAGGGGUCCUGAGAGGGAGGUCCCCCACCGGGUACUGAGACACGGACCAACUCCUACGGGAGGCAGCAGUGAGGAAUAUUGGACCAAUGGUCGGAAGACUGAUCCACCAUGCCGCGUGCAGGAUGACGGCCUUAUGGGGUUGUAAACUGCUUUUAUACAGAAGAAUAAGGUCUACGCGUAGAUUGAUGACGGUCUUAUGAAUAAGCAUCGGCUAACUCCGUGCCAGCAGCCGCGGUAAUACGGAGGAUGCGAGCGUUAUCCGGAAUCAUUGGGUUUAAAGGGUCCGUAGCGGGCUUAUAAGUCAGAGGUGAAAGCACUGAGCUCACUGAGUACUCCUUUGAAACUGUGGUCUUGAAUGUUUGUGAAAGCUGGAAUGUGUAGUGUAGCGGGGAAAUGCAUAAUAUUACACAAACACCUUGCGNAAGGCUGUUACUAACAAAUUAUUGACCCUUGGACCAAAGCGUGGGGAGCGAACAGGAUUAUACCCUGGAGUCCCGCUUAAAANUGGAUACUACUGUUUGGGNAGAAUUUUGNGGGCUAAGCGAAAGUGAUAAGUAUCCCACCUGGGGAGUACGCACGCAAGUGUGAAACUCAAAGGAAUUGACGGGGGCCCGCACAAGCGGUGGAGCAUGUGGUUUAAUUCGAUGAUACGCGAGGAACCUUACCAAGGUUUAAAUGGGAAACGACGUACCUAGAGAUAGNUAUUUNCUUCGGACGUUUUUCAAGGUGCUGCAUGGUUGUCGUCAGACACGUGCCGUGNGGUGCC
rnacentral:rRNA from 1 species